rnacentral:rRNA from 1 species
GACGAACGCUGGCGGCGUGCCUAAUACAUGCGAGUAGAACGCUGAAGGAGGAGCUUGCUUCUCUGGAUGAGUUGCGAACGGGUGAGUAACGCGUAGGUAACCUGCCUGGUAGCGGGGGAUAACUAUUGGAAACGAUAGCUAAUACCGCAUAAUAGUAGAUGUUGCAUGACAUUUGCUUAAAAGGUGCAAUUGCAUCACUACCAGAUGGACCUGCGUUGUAUUAGCUAGUUGGUGGGGUAACGGCUCACCAAGGCGACGAUACAUAGCCGACCUGAGAGGGGGAUCGGCCACACUGGGACUGAGACACGGCCCAGACUCCUACGGGAGGCAGCAGUAGGGAAUCUUCGGCAAUGGACGGAAGUCUGACCGAGCAACGCCGCGUGAGUGAAGAAGGGUUUCGGAUCGUAAAGCUCUGUUGUAAGAGAAGAACGAGUGUGAGAGUGGAAAGUUCACACUGUGACGGUAUCUUACCAGAAAGGGACGGCUAACUACGUG